GACGAACGCUGGCGGCGUGCUUAACACAUGCAAGUCGAACGGAAAGGCCCUGCUUUUGUGGGGUGCUCGAGUGGCGAACGGGUGAGUAACACGUGAGUAACCUGCCCUUGACUUUGGGAUAACUUCAGGAAACUGGGGCUAAUACCGGAUAGGAGCUCCUGCUGCAUGGUGGGGGGUGGAAAGUUUCGGCGGUUGGGGAUGGACUCGCGGCGGAUCAGCUGGUGGGUGGGGUAGUGGCGUACCAAGGCUUUGACGGGUAGCCGGCCUGAGAGGGUGACCGGCUAGGCUGGGACUGAGACCCGGCCCAGACUCGGGCGGGAGGCGGGGGUGGGGUGUAUUGGGGGAUGGGCGCAAGACUGAGCCAGCCCUGGCGCGUGAGGGAGGAAGGCGGUAGGGAUGCAAAUCUCUCUUAGCCGGGAGGAUAAUGACAGUACCGGGAGAAUAAGCCCCGGCUAACUCCGUG
rnacentral:rRNA from 1 species